rnacentral:rRNA from 1 species
CGAGUUUGAUCCUGGCUCAGAUUGAACGCUGGCGGCAGGCCUAACACAUGCAAGUCGAGCGGAUGAUGGGAGCUUGCUCCCGGAUUCAGCGGCGGACGGGUGAGUAAUGCCUAGGAAUCUGCCUGGUAGUGGGGGACAACGUUUCGAAAGGAACGCUAAUACCGCAUACGUCCUACGGGAGAAAGCAGGGGACCUUCGGGCCUUGCGCUAUCAGAUGAGCCUAGGUCGGAUUAGCUAGUUGGUGGGGUAAAGGCCUACCAAGGCGACGAUCCGUAACUGGUCUGAGAGGAUGAUCAGUCACACUGGAACUGAGACACGGUCCAGACUCCUACGGGAGGCAGCAGUGGGGAAUAUUGGACAAUGGGCGAAAGCCUGAUCCAGCCAUGCCGCGUGUGUGAAGAAGGUCUUCGGAUUGUAAAGCACUUUAAGUUGGGAGGAAGGGCAGUAAGUUAAUACCUUGCUGUUUUGACGUUACCAACAGAAUAAGCACCGGCUAACUUCGUGCCAGCAGCCGCGGUAAUACGAAGGGUG